ensembl:lncRNA
GACUGUGAGAAAGUUUCACAGAAAAGGCAGGCAGAUAAGAAGAACACGGUCCGUUGAUUUUCAAGAAAAGCGGCUAAAGAGAAAAUUUGCAUGCCUGGAAAUAUCCGUGGCUUCAUUUCACCACGACCAAUCCUUUUCUAAGUUUCUCAUCCUCUCACUCUCCCAUGUUCUCAGCCUUUCACACACUCUUCUCUGUGCUACUGAAUGGGCAAGUAUGACAGUACGAAAGGCAACUGGAGUCUGCUAUUUGCAAAAGCGCGCUGCCGUGCUGUUAACUCUCUCGUUGGAGGAAUCGUGACGAGCUGAGUCAGACUGACGACUGUGUCCAUAUUGAUCUGAUGUAUCCUGAGUGAGUCAGUAGACGACAGGUCUCUCCAGGUCUGUACCUCGAUCAAACAGUCAUCUGCCCUAAAACGAUCAGUGACGAAAGCACGUGCGCACAAGGCAGGACAGCGGCAACUUUUGUGCAGCAUCUCACUCAAAAAAGACAAAGGAGUCAUGAGCAGACAUUACGAUGACCUGGCUGUUUUCUCUCUCACACAUGGAAAAUCAGCCAAUCGAAGAACCCCACCUAUGAGAAGGAGAGAUGUGCGUGAAAGAAGCGGGGGGAAUACAACCCAAAGAAGGGCUGGCAAAGAUAGAAACAUCUGAGAAGACAUCAUGGACCAUCAUGGCAUUGUUGACACCUUAUUUCCCUCAUUUACAAGUCAUUUCUUCAUGAUAUAAUAUGCUUACCUUAUAGUCACCAUUAUCUGCUGUACACCUGCUACACACAUCUACAGUGAAACAAGUUUCAGGAAGGCCAGUUUAUGUUCAUACAUCUGUCCUGUAAAGGAAUGAUACAUACAUGUUAAUGGAAACGUAAAAGAUGCAACAAUUCUUGUACCGUUGACGGAUUUUUCGAUUUGAAAUAUUUAAAACAGAGUUUGAGCCCUAACAAUAGUGAAUAAUAUAUUAAAAAGUUUCGAAACUUUUCCUUCUCCGUUUUCUUUUCCCAUUUGAAAGGUUUCUAGGGGCCUGUAGGGAGAUGUAUUUAUUCCCAAAGGAAAAAAGCUAAAUCAGAUUUGGUUACACAAAUUAUUGUGUGUAACAGAUGUAAAGUAUGUAGUGCUCAAUUUAUUCUCACGAACAACUAAUAGAUAAACUGGAAUUGAACCCUGACACAACAAGUUAACGGUUCAACCACAUACAUUUCCUGUUUGGACCUUUUAUCAGAAACAACAUCUGGAUUCGGACAGACAGAGAGGGAGAGAGGCAGCAAUGAGACCCUGGAAGAUUCCCUUCAAGAUUUGGUUCAUGUGCCGGUGAUGGUGUUCCGUCACCGUAAGCUGUUGAACCUGAAGCUUCCGGAUGAGUUCUGGGUUCUGACUUUAUUGUGAGUUUCCCAAAGAACAAGGAGUUUUUUUUUAACAUGCACAGGCGAGGCAGUGACUUUCAGCUUUGCAGAAACACCGCAGACCUUUAUCAAAGCAGACAGUAGUCGGACUCCUCAAACACAAGUGUCACUGGUAACAUUAAUGAGACAUUAAUAUUAUUCCACUGACGUGGCUCCCCCUCGCACCUAUCAGAGCUAUUGCUAAUGUUAUGUGGUGGUUAAUACUGUAGUUACACAUGUGCAUUACCUGCUAUGAAAAGGCAAAAUGUCCGCA